rnacentral:rRNA from 1 species
CAAUAGCGUAUAUUUAAGUUGUUGCAGUUAAAAAGCUCGUAGUUGGAUUUCGGAUGGGAUUUGCCGGUCCGUCGUUACGAUGUGCACUGGCCAGUCCUAUCUUGUUGUCGGGGACUAGCUCCUUGGAUUCACUUCCUGGGACUAGGAGCUGACGAGGUUACUUUGAGUAAAUUAGAGUGUUCAAAGCAAGCCUACGCUCUGAAUACAUUAGCAUGGAAUAACACGAUAGGACUCUGGCUUAUCUUGUUGGUCUGUGAGACCAGAGUAAUGAUUAAGAGGGACAGUCGGGGACAUUCGUAUUUCAUUGUCAGAGGUGAGAUUCUUGGAUUUAUGAAAGACGAACUUCUGCGAAAGCAUUUGUCAAGGAUGUUUNCAUUA